GAGGGCUGGGAGAGGACUGCGAGGGGGAUGAGAGAGGGAUAACAACAUGCACAUUUCUCCCUUAGUGGACUAAUAAAGCUGUUUUCUUCCUGUCUGUGUAUAGUGUGGGGUGUAUUGACUUCCUCGCUGUGGAUAGUGUGGGGUGUAUUGACUUCCUGUCUGUGUAUAGUGUGGGGUGUAUUGACUUCCUGUCUGUGUAUAGUGUGGGGUGUAUUGACUUCCUCUCUGUGUAUAGUGUGUGGUGUAUUGACUUCCUCUCUGUGUAUAGUGUGUGGUGUAUUGACUUCCUCUCUGUGGAUAUGUGUGUGGUGUAUUGACUUCCUGUCUGUGUAUAGUGUGGGGUGUAUUGACUUCCUCUCUGUGUAUAGUGUGGGGUGUAUUGACUUCCUGUCUGUGUAUAGUGUGGGGUGUAUUGACUUCCUCUCUGUGGAUAUGUGUGUGGUGUAUUGACUUCCUGUCUGUGUAUUGUGUGGGGUGUAUUGACUUCCUCUCUGUGUAUAGUGUGGGGUGUAUUGACUUCCUCUCUGUGUAUAGUGUGGGGUGUAUUGACUUCCUGUCUGUGUAUUGUGUGGGGUGUAUUGACUUCCUCUCUGUGUAUAGUGUGGGGUGUAUUGACUUCCUCUCUGUGUAUAGUGUGGGGUGUAUUGACUUCCUCUCUGUGGAUAUGUGUGUGGUGUAUUGACUUCCUCUCUGUGUAUAGUGUGGGGUGUAUUGACUUCCUCUCUGUGGAUAUGUGUGUGGUGUAUUGACUUCCUCUCUGUGGAUAUGUGUGUGGUGUAUUGACUUCCUCUCUGUGGAUAUGUGUGUGGUGUAUUGACUUCCUCGCUGUGGAUAGUGUGGGGUGUAUUGACUUCCUCUCUGUGUAUAGUGUGGGGGGUAUUGACUUCCUGUCUGUGUAUAGUGUGGGGUGUAUUGACUUCCUCUCUGUGGAUAGUGUGGGGGGUAUUGACUUCCUCUCUGUGUAUAGUGUGGGGUGUAUUGACUUCCUCUCUGUGUAUAGAGUGUGGUGUAUUGACUUCCUCUCUGUGGAUAGUGUGGGGUGUAUUGACUUCCUGUCUGUGUAUUGUGUGGGGUGUAUUGACUUCCUCUCUGUGGAUAGUGUGUGGUGUAUUGACUUCCUCUCUGUGGAUAGUGUGGGGUGUAUUGACUUCCUGUCUGUGUAUUGUGUGGGGUGUAUUGACAUCCUCGCUGUGUAUUGUGUGUUUCAACAACCAUGACUGACUGUUCUUCAUCUUAUUUUAAGUGAAUUUAAUCAGAAACAAAGGACAUAAUGAGAGGGGGGUCAUCAGUCCACUACUUUGUUAUUAGCUUUGUGAUGCUGUGAGGUGGUUGUUGUCUGAUGCUGUGAGGUGGUUGUUGUCUGAUGCUGUGAGGUGGUUGUUGUCUGAUGCUGUGAGGUGGUUGUUGUCUGAUGCUGUGAGGUGGUUGUUUGCGAUGCUUUGAGGUGGUUUUUGUUUGCGAUGCUGUGAGGUCGUGGUGUGAUGCUGUGAGGUCGUGGUCUGAUGCUGUGAGGUCGUGGUGUGAUGCUGUGAGGUCAUGGUGUGAUGCUGUGAGGUCGUGGUGUGGUGCUGUGAGGUCAUGGUGUGAUGCUGUGAGGUCGUGGUGUGAUGCUGGGAGGUCGUGGUGUGAUGCUGGGAGGUCGUGGUGUGAUGCUGUGAGG